rnacentral:rRNA from 1 species
AACGCGAAGAACCUUACCAGGAUUCGACAUGCCCUCUAUGGAUUCCCGAAAAGGAAUCCUUCACUUCGGGUGGGAGGAGCACAGGUGCUGCAUGGCUGUCGUCAGCUCGUGUCGUGAGAUGUUGGGUUAAGUCCCGCAACGAGCGCAACCCUCGUCCUCUGUUGCUAACAGGUUAGGCUGAGCACUCUGAGGAAACUGCCGGUGAUAAGCCGGAGGAAGGUGGGGAUGACGUCAAGUCCUCAUGGCCCUUACAUCCUGGGCUACACACGUGUUACAAUGGCGAUGACAAUGGGACGCUACUCCGCAAGGAGAUGCCAAUCUCAAAAAGUCGCCUCAGUUCGGAUUGUACUCUGCAACUCGAGUACAUGAAGCUGGAAUCGCUAGUAAUCGCGGAUCAGCACGCCGCGGUGAAUACGUUCCCGGGCCUUGUACACACCGACUGUAC